GUGUCAGCCGCCGCGGUAAUACGGAGGGGGCUAGCGUUGUUCGGAAUCACUGGGCGUAAAGCGCACGUAGGCGGUGUAUCAAGUCAGAGGUGAAAGGCCUGGGCUCAACCUGGGAACUGCCUUUGAUACUGGUACGCUCGAGUCCGGGAGAGGGUAGUGGAAUUCCCAGUGUAGAGGUGAAAUUCGUAGAUAUUGGGAAGAACACCGGUGGCGAAGGCGGCUACCUGGCCCGGUUACUGACGCUGAGGUGCGAAAGCGUGGGGAGCGAACAGGAUUAGAUACCCUGGUAGUCCACGCCGUAAACGAUGAGUGCUAGGUGUCGGGGCGCAUGCGUCUCGGUGCCGCAGCUAACGCGUUAAGCACUCCGCCUGGGGAGUACGGCCGCAAGGUUAAAACUUAAAUGAAUUGACGGGG
rnacentral:rRNA from 1 species